AUUGAACGCUGGCGGCAUGCCUUACACAUGCAAGUCGAACGGCAGCACGGGAGCAAUCCUGGUGGCGAGUGGCGAACGGGUGAGUAAUAUAUCGGAACGUGCCCAGUAGUGGGGGAUAACUGCUCGAAAGAGCAGCUAAUACCGCAUACGACCUGAGAGUGAAAGGGGGGGAUCGCAAGACCUCUCGCUAUUGGAGCGGCCGAUAUCAGAUUAGCUAGUUGGUGGGGUAAAGGCCUACCAAGGCAACGAUCUGUAGUUGGUCUGAGAGGACGACCAGCCACACUGGGACUGAGACACGGCCCAGACUCCUACGGGAGGCAGCAGUGGGGAAUUUUGGACAAUGGGCGCAAGCCUGAUCCAGCAAUGCCGCGUGCAGGAAGAAGGCCUUCGGGUUGUAAACUGCUUUUGUCAGGGAAGAAAUCCUCUAGGUUAAUACCCUUGGGGGGAUGACGGUACCUGAAGAAUAAGCACCGGCUAACUACGUGCCAGCCGCCGCGGUAAGAC
rnacentral:rRNA from 1 species